UCUUCACUGGGCCUUCUCAAAGCAGUCAAGCUUUCAUAGAAAUAGGAACUCUCAUUCUCAAUCACAUAUCAUCCAGUUUCCAUACCAUCUGAGCUACAUAAUUAAAGUACCCAAAAUAAAAGUGACACAAAGUGGUUUGUGCAAAAAUAAACCGUGUGAAGUGUGAGUCUGAUUUGGUGGGAGCAGAAAUGAUGGCUAGAGAAUGACUUCGCAAACAUAGGUGAGCCUGCCAUGGGACCAGUCAGCAUUUCAUACAGCAGGAAUUGAGAAUUUGUGGUUUAUCUGGCAAAGUCCGUUGGGCAGAGGUCAGUUAAGCCAACAGCAACUGUAGUUAUAGUGUGGGGGCUUGAUGAGCUCAUUGAAAGGAAUGAGAAAACGAAGAGGGCCAAGGUUAGAACCUUAGGGACCACUUUCGCAAUCAAGGGAAAGAGAGAGGUUAGCUAAUUCAUAUUCUGUGUCCUGUAGAAAAAACAGGAACCUUCUUUUGGAAAUGCAGCUGUAGGCAGAAGGGAGCAACCAAAGGGAUUUGGGCAGGCAGACUUUGCCUCGCUGAGGUUUCAGAUUCUUACAGUGGUCCUCUGGGGACAGGAUUCCAGAAGCGAGUGAGAUAGGAUGUUUGGGAGACCAGCUUGAGCCCAGGAGAAAGCUAACGGGAGCCUCAGUAUAGGCAGUGACAGUGGGAAUGACAAAGAGACGGGUCACUAUAGAUUUUAGUUGAAGUGCCAGGAAUUGGUAACUGGAUGUGAGAGGAAGGAAGAGGGUAGGGAGUCUGGUGACUGGUUUUUGUUUGCGUGGCCAAGAGAAUGAAUGGUGCUGCUUAUGCAGAUGCCGUGAUACAGAGCUGGGGCCAGUGGUGAAAGGGAAGAUGAGUUCCAUUUUGGACACGCAGGGUAAGGUAUCUAGGUGUGUGUGUUUAGCCAACAUUCAGACAUGCAGAUCUGGAGCUUGGGAGAAGGGGUAGGGCUGAAGAGGCAUUUUGAAAUAAUUCAUAAUUAAAAGUCUGGAGGAUGACAUCAUCUAAGGCUGAUGUUAAGAUAUGGGUGGUCCAAUUCGUUUUUUUUUUUUUUUUUUUUUUUUUUUUUNNNNNNNNNNNNNNNNNNNNNNNNNNNNNNNNNNNNNNNNNNNNNNNNNNNNNNNNNNNNNNNNNNNNNNNNNNNNNNNNNNNNNNNNNNNNNNNNNNNNNNNNNNNNNNNNNNNNNNNNNNAUAACCCACUGAGCAAGGGCAGGGAUCGAACCCGCAACCGCAUGGUUCUUAGUCGGAUUCGUUAACCACUGCGCCACGACGGGAACUCCCAAUUCUAAUUUAGACGGAAAGGAAGCCCAUCUCAAGAAUAUUAGUAAUCAUUUGUUAGGUGUCUCUUCCACACUAUUUCAAGUAUGUUACAGAUAUUAUUUUAUUUCCUACUAAAGUCCCCAUGAGAGUAGGUGUUAUUGUCUCCAUUUUACAAGUGAAUGAGUUGAGGCUCAGAGGUAAAGCCAUUAGCUCCCAGUCAGGUCAUAUAUUUGUAGGGGGCAUUUGAAAUGAAGUCUUGCCAAGGUUGAGGCUUUCUUUCAAGGAAGGCAUGGUUAAAGAGGUAGGAAGAAAACUAAGAGAGUUGAGACACAUUGAAGGGGUUGUUGCAGUGUACGAUGUCCUGAGAGAUGACCAGGAGUUUGGAUUGGACAUGAUGUCAGGGUCACUGAUGAUGCCCUGGCUUGUGUUGGGAGUGGGCUCAUUAUGGGAAGCAGUCGGCAUAAUUGAUUUAUUGUACCACUCCCCAGUGUAAUUUCAUUGCAUGUGUAAAUGUAGCCUGUGAUACCCAGAAAGAAGGAAAAAGCAAUGAGCUUUUAAAAAAGCAAGUAACAAGAGCUACAGAAUGAGAUUUCUAGGAAGAGUCUCUCCUUUAUGACGUAACAGUUGGACUGUUCCGGUGCUUGGGAAGAUGCUGCCUGCCGCCCUGCCAGGUAGCUGGUGCUGCUUGGACGGGAAGGGGAGGGGAAGAUGCUCUGUGCAGCUCGCCUCAGUGCAGAGCUUGCUAACAGCGCUCGGUGCUGACAACAGCUGAGUCAGAAGACGCGCAGGCUGCUGGAGAGGCCGACAUGGCCCAGUUCAGGAUUUUAGACUGCAUGGGCAACCAUAAUUGGAGUUUUUUGUGCAAUCUGUAUUGUGCAUGGAGUGGUCAGGUUUGUUUGAUAAAUAUAUAUAUGUAUAUAUCUUGGCUUUUUAAUUCAAAACUGCUGUAAUGUAUAAAGGAAGAAAAAAAAAUCAGUGAAAAGACUGGCUAUGAAAUCACUAUCUUCCUAGAGCAGUAAAAAAGUAACCUUCAGACUCUGACUUUGUUGAAAUUCUUGUUUAGUAUGCAUAUCUCAAUGCUCACCAUAUGACUUUCUCUAGAAGAAUUAACUCUAAAGCUGCACAGUACGACUUAAUUUGUAGAGCUUUGAGUGGUGGGGGAGGGGAAGUUAGAACGAAUUACUAUUAAACUAGGAAAAAUUAAAGCAAUAUAAUUAAGACUUAGUAAAUGUUUUAUGUUUUUAGAGAUAUUUAAUAUUAUAUUCAUAAGGAGGUAGGCAAGAUUUGGAAUGAGUUGCUUUUUAGUUUGUCAUUUUUAAUGCAAUGUGGUUCUUGACUUCUUUCACUAUGGGAUUAAAUGUAAGUUCUUUUUUGAAAUCUGUUACUGGAAUUGUUGGCUUUUGAGAAUAGUCAUUUUGCAAUAGAGAAACUUUGCCAGGUAUUUUUUUAAAUGAUAGUUAUAUGCCUUUGAGUUUUCUUUCUUAAGAAGCAGAAGCUCCUACCUCUCCCUCCAACCUUCAACCAACAUUGUUAUUAUCAGGUACAGCCUGUUUUUGUAAUUUAUAUGUAAUGUUGUACGUAUUUCGCACAAAAGCGUCUCUUAGAAAUUACAAACCUGACGGAUAUCUUUUGUUCCAUAAGUCAGUGAAUCUUAUGAAUUAUGUACCUUGUAGGGUUAUUAGUCGCUUUGUGGAUUUCCAUCUUUGUUAUUUAAAAAAGCUCUUUAGUAUUGUUUGAAAUUUGGAAGAAAAACUCAAUUUAAAGUAUUAAAAGCAGUGACACACACGCGCACACACAGACACUGCCAUUUUUCAUUCCCCCAUAGGUACGACAUGAACAGAAGUUUAUGAGACAUGAAUUUAGAUCCAAGUGGGACUUCUGGGUCUCUAAUACUUUGGUUUAUGUCUUGUUCUUUUUAUUCGAGAAUGGUGAAAGGGUAUUUUCAUAGUUUAUGUUUGGCACAUAGACUGAUGUAUCAGAGAAAUUAGAGAUGAAGAAGCUCACUUAGUCUUUAUUUCUUCCAGCAAGAGAUUGAUUCUUCAGUGUACUUUCUAGUUCUUUACCUAAUGGAUUUACAUUACCUUGAAAAUAUGGAUUCUGAAUGGCUACUUAGAGAAUAAAAGAAGAUAGAUACUGCAAUUAUCUUGGCAUGUAAAAUUCAUAAUAUCAGGAACCCACCAGAGCUGAAACUUAAAAGGAAAAUUCAGUGUUUAGUAACCAGUUUUGCCUCUAUUACUACACUUAAUAGUUUCAUCAGAAAACUUUCUGGUUUGAGAUCCAGGACCUUGUCAAGACUUCUUCAUUCUAGCUAAUCCCAAAGGAAUACUUGGGUUGCAGCAGAAUCUAGGGGUGAGUGAUCCAGUAAGCCGGCAAGAGAAAGUGCUUUGGGACAUGCCUUGGCCUGGGGUUUUGCAGGACUGCUGUUGCUGCUUAACCCUGUGGUUUAGGUCUGACAAUAAGCCAUGUGGUUGCUAGCAUCUCUUAGAAGAAGAGUUUGCAGAAUUUAGCAUGAAGUAAAAAUAGCAUGUGACCACAUCUCCUGUGGCUUUUAUGUCAUCACUCAAAAGUAUUUGGUGGAAGUCACUGACUCAGUGCAUUUGGAGUUAGGCAGGUACCAUAAAAGAGUGAAAGGAGUGGAAGAGAGUCAAGUAUAGGACGGUCGUGGCCAACUGGGGGAUUCAGCCUCACGAGAUGGAUGCCAGGUUGGACCUGUUGCUGUCAAAUCAUUGAGUUUUCAAGAGAAACUAAAAUUUUGCAUUUUUAUGUACAUUCAUCCUAAUUUUCAAGGGAUGACUAAUUCACGUUUUUCAAAAUCCUGAGAUCCAAGCCAAACGCAUCUGUGGCCAGCUGUGGCUCUCAGCUUCCAGAGUGUGUAACUUCUGAUCUAUACAAAGCCUUGGGGCAGCAGCCAGUUUUAUUUGACUUUUACUAUGGAAACUGAGCAGUGCCCAGGGAUGCUACUAGAUAACCUUUGGAAGGUUUAUGAUUUUGGUAGGGCAACAAGGGAGAGAAAUGAGAGGAGGAAAUGAAAAGAUAGGAGAGGAAGGAGCUGGUUCUCUGACCCCUCUGGCAUCGCUCACUCACCUCUGCCUCCUCGUUUCUGAUGAUACCUGCGUCACGGGUGUUGUGAGGGUUAAAGGAGAUACGGCAUUUCCCAUAGUGCCUGGCACAAUAAGUGCCUAAUACAGGCUUGCUGUUAUUAAUAUAGUCUAGGCUAAUACAGUAUAUUUAGAGGUGAUGCUCUGAGAAUUAUAUUGGAAAGAAAAAGAUGGGAGUAAAGGGAUUGCAUUAAUUUAAUUUU
rnacentral:lncRNA from 1 species